ACAUGUUUGACUAGGUCACCCAGACACGAAAGCAGACCUGAGUGCUGACAGCUCACAUCUAGGCACGGGUGACCUCCUUCUCAUAAAAGGUGAACACAACUUGCCCCAGAAAUAGGCAAAGAUGCAGAUGUUCACCACCUGUAAAACCAUUGCUUUUCCAGUUAAACUGAAUGUAGGUGCUCACCUUUGAAAAUUUUACCUUUGGGCCUUCAUUCCACCUCCCAACCCUGACAAUAAAAUGGAUACAAUGAAGAGUUUCUUCAGGGCAGUAUGCAUCAGUGAAGAGCAAAAAAGCUGAAUUUAUUACAUCAUUCUUCACUUUUUAAUUAGGGGAAACAUUGAAGAAAGACUCUGGAAGCAAAAUCAAUUUGCUGGUCUUGAUUUGACUUUCUGUUUAGUGACAGUUUGAAUCCUAAGACCAAAUUCUCUCUGGGGAAAUAAUUCCACUCACUUCAAGGCAACUGCUUCAAUAGCACCAACCAAGAUGGAAGCCUAACAAAGGUGUGUUUUCCCCAGAGGGAUCUCCAUUCUCCUGCAUGGAUUUGCUUCUUUGCUUGCUUGUACUGAGGGAACUGGGAGACUCCUGGUAGGUAAUGGGGAUGAAAUGCUGAUAGCAGGGCAAGAUUAAUGUGAUCUGAUCCACUGGUGUUAUCUUUCACAUCUCUGCAGACUUUUGCAAUUUGAAUUUGUAAAUCCAAUCUUCCUCUUCCAACACUAGCAGUUCUCCUCUUCAUUUUUUCUCUAACCAGUGUCACCUCAAGGCUAACCAUGAAGCAAUCACUAUCCAAAACCUCAAGGUCUGUAGACAGACAAAAAUAUAUUUUUCUUUCUCUCCUAAGACACGGUGUAAGGCCCAAAUCCACAUCUCUGUUUACCUGGAGAAAUCUCCUAAGGGAAUAAACCCAUCCACACCAUGGGGAUACACCACUACAAGAGAGUAAUUGCUCUAAGAGUGUCCCUCAUCCUGGUGAAAUGCAGUUCGAGAGACAGCAGGAUCAUUCACCUCACCUGAGCCUUUGGAAAAGUAUUUUUAUGUGAAUUUCUGUUUCUACUUUUGAUUCCUGGGACAUGCUGAGAGUUCACGUAUGGUGAGCUGCUACGGCUCAAGUGAUGCAUGACUCAGCCUGGGUGGAGAAACAGCACAGGGUGGCUGAGCCCAUCCAACAUCUCGCCACCAAUGCUGAAAGGGGAAGUUGUACACCCCCUAUCACUCUUGUACACACUCUUUUGCUUACCUUGCACCAGCUCUGGUGCUUGUCAGGAGCCUCCAAGAAUGGAUACAAGCCACUAAUCCAUCUGCAGAUUAUCUCAGAAAAAGAAACUGAGCUUUCUGCCAGGAUAGGAGCAAAGUUGACUCAGUAAAAAGUUUUACAAGCUACAGAGCCAACAGAAGAAUGCAGCACUGAGUGAGAGGGCAGGGGUAGGGAGGACAAGCUGCAAUAGGAUCACAGCCUUUGGCAGCUGUAAGACUCAGCCAUAAUGCACAACUUCACCUUUGGGACCAUGCAGAUGUUGCCUCCUAUCACUAUGAAGCAUCCAAGCAGAAUGGUGAGGUAGGAAAGAGUAAAAAUUCUUAAGGAAUAAACUCUGGCAGAAAAAAGAAAAAUGCAUGUG